rnacentral:rRNA from 1 species
AAUCCGGUUGAUCCUGCCGGACCCUACUGCUAUCGGGGGAGGACUAAAACAUGCAAGUCGUGCGUCUCCAAGCUAUGGUGGAGACGCGGCAUACGGCUCAGUAACACGUGGCUAACCCACCCUUGAGACGGAGAAAACCCCGGGAAACUGGGGGUAAUCUCCGAUAAGAGAAGACACCUGGAAUGGGUCUCCUCUCAAAAGGCGCCUUAACCAUGCUUUUAGGCGCUGCUCAAGGACGGGGCCGCGGCCGAUCAGGUUGUUGGUGAGGCAACGGCUUACCAAGCCUAUAACCGGUACGGGCCGUGAGAGCGGGAGCCCGGAGAUGGGCACUGAGAUAAGGGCCCAGGCCCUACGGGGCGCAGCAGUUGCGAAAACUCCGCAAUGCACGAAAGUGUGACGGGGCUACCCCGAGUGCCGUCCGCUGAGGGCGGCUUUUCCCCGGUGUAAGGAGCCGGGGGAAUAAGGAGAGGGCAAGUCUGGUGUCAGCCGCCGCGGUAAUACCAGCUCUCCGAGUGGUAGGGACAAUUAUUGGGCUUAAAGCGUCCGUAGCCGGCCUGACAAGUCUUCCGUUAAAUCCAACGAUUCAAUCGUUGGACUGCAGGAGAUACUUUUGGGCUAGGGGGCGGGAGAGGCCGACGGUAUUCUCGGGGUAGGGGUAAAAUCCUAUAAUCCCGGGAAGACCACCAGUGGCGAAGGCGGUCGGCUAGAACGCGCUCGACGGUGAGGGACGAAAGCUGGGGGAGCGAACCGGAUUAGAUACCCGGGUAGUCCCAGCUGUAAACGAUGCGGGCUAGGUGUUGGAGCGGCUACGGGCCGCUUCAGUGCCGCAGGGAAACCAUUAAGCCCGCCGCCUGGGGAGUACGGCCGCAAGGCUGAAACUUAAAGGAAUUGGCGGGGGAGCACCACAAGGGGUGAAGCUUGCGGUUUAAUUGGAGUCAACGCCGGGAAACUUACCGGGGGCGACAGCAGGAUGAAGGCCAGAUCGAAGGUCUUGCUAGACGAGCUGAGAGGAGGUGCAUGGCCGUCGCCAGUUCGUGCCGUGAGGUGUCCUGUUAAGUCAGGCAACGAUCGAGACCCACGCCCCCUGUUGCCACUGAGGAGGUUUCUCCAAAGGGCACUCUGGGGGGACUGCCGCCGAUAAGGCGAAGGAAGGAGUGGGCCACGGCAGGUCAGUAUGCCCCGAAUCCCCCGGGCCACACGCGAGCUGCAAUGGCUGGGACAGUGGGUUCCGACCUCGAGAGGGGGAGGUAAUCCCUAAACCUAGCCGUAGUUGGGAUCGAGGGCUGCAACUCGCCCUCGUGAACAUGGAAUCCCUAGUAAUCGCGCGUCAUCAUCGCGCGGUGAAUACGUCCCUGCUCCUUGCACACACCGCCCGUCGUUCCACCCGAGUGGGGUUUGGGUGAGGCUUGGUCCUUUUGUGGCUGUGUCGAGCCUAGAUUUCGCAAGGGGGGAAAAGUCGUAACAAGGUGGCCGUAGGGGAACCUGCGGCCGGAUCACCUCCU